UACAGGGGGUGCAAACGUUGCUCGGAAUUAUUGGGCGUAAAGCGCGCGUAGGCGGCCACUUAAGUCGGAUGUGAAAGCCCCUGGCUCAACUGGGGAAGUGCACCCGAAACUGAAUGGCUUGAGUGCGAAAGAGGGUCGCGGAAUUCCCGGUGUAGAGGUGAAAUUCGUAGAUAUCGGGGAGAACACCGGUGGCGAAGGCGGCGACCUGGGUCGACACUGACGCUGAGGCGCGAAAGCGUGGGGAGCAAACAGG
rnacentral:rRNA from 1 species